rnacentral:rRNA from 1 species
UACAGAGGUGGCAAGCGUUGUUCGGAAUUACUGGGCGUAAAGGGCGCGUAGGCGGCCUUCUAAGUCAGACGUGAAAUCCCCCGGCUUAACCUGGGAACUGCGUCUGAUACUGGAGGGCUUGAGUAUGGGAGAGGGAUGUAGAAUUCCAGGUGAUAGCGGUGAAAUGCGUAGAUAUCUGGAGGAAUACCGGUGGCGAAGGCGGCAUCCUGGACCAUUACUGACGCUGGAGGCGCGAAAGCUAGGGGAGCAAACGGG